CCGUCUAGGAAAGCAAGACCCUAGGCGGUGUAAUUAUCUCUGUCCAACAUGCUUGCCUAUAUGUGAAGCUGGACCUCACAAAGGUCAGUGUGAUAGUGGGAGAAAUGACAGCUCUGGGCAAAACAAGAGAUACUUAAAAGUUUUGAAAUUCAAAUGUUGGAACAAGAGAGAGAGUUCAGGGCUGGGAGUUGCAACUGUAGAGCCACCAUGUUCCUCAUACCCACCUUCUCUUUCUCUUUCUACCACUACCCUCAGGCCGGACCUCGGUACCUCUUGCUUUGUUGAAGACCUGGUUAUGUCCAACCUCACCCUCAGCGCCCUGAGGGGGGUCACUACACACAACCUGGAUCUUGUCACUCCUCUGCCUGCAAAAUAAAGCCCCUUGACCUCAUAAUGAAGGCUCUUCUGCCCUGACCUCAGCCCACCUAUGAUGCCACUGCCUACUACUCUGCCAGGCAGUGGGGCCCAAGCUCCCAGUACACAGUGUUGUCCCCGUGCCUCAAGUAUCCUUCCCCCACAGCUUUCCCUGUCCUCAUUCUCCUUUGUCCCUGACGACCCUGCUCCUUUCACAAGUCCUUUACUUCUCUGCCCCUGUACUCCCUGUUUAAUGGCACACAAAUGUGCUUUCAUUCCACUUUUACAUCUAGGCAACAGGAGGUGAAGAGUAAGUGAGAACACUCACGAAGGAACAAGGUUAGGAUAAGGAGUUCACCCACCUGUCCUUCACCUGCAGUAGGUAGCAGACCAAGCAAUAGCCAGCACAACUCUGUACGAAAUUGCGCUGGGCACUGAGGAAUGCCUCAGUGGUGUAACUGCCAUGCUCCUGCAGGAAGUAAUCAAGCAAGGAGAGCUGUGACUGCUUCUUCACCUGGUGAAUGGAUACAGCAUUGACCACUGGUUCAAUCAUGCCACUGUCAGCAGAAAUCACAAGGAUCUUGUAUGGCUUGAUCCACAGGGGCACUCGCUCCUGUUCCCAAAUGGACUGUGAGGAGACACAGAUGCAUGCCACUGUCAUCUUUCCAAACUAGGGGAAGGGGCUAAAAUCCCCUCUGUCCCCAGCCUUGGAUGGUUCCCAUCCUUGUGGCCUUGGAUUCUAGGCCAUCAAAAAGAAGAGGAUUAACAGGUGAAGUUGCUUGCAGGCGACCAAUCCAAAGGUUCAAGGAAUCCACAUCUCAGCACACUGUAAACCAACUGCCGGGACUAAAGGACAAAUCCAGUCCCCCAAAUUGAGAACAUAGCAGGUGCAUGUCACUAAAGGGCCACGAGGGGUCGCUGUGGAGCUAGCUGUUCCAGUGGCUGUACUUCCUGGGGAAGGAGCACCAGCUUUCAUUGGACUGGGCAGGAAGCUGGUCUCCAGCAGAGUUCCCUGUGGAACACGCUGCUUAACAAUCUGUGUGCUCACCUCAGCUGGGCUGAGUUCCCUUUCUUCCUUCCUCCCUCUUACCUGCAGUUGCUUCAACACCUGGAAGGCCAGGAGCUCCUGCCGAAGGUCAUCCCCACACUUGACAAUAACUGACAGAAGGCGCCAAUUGGGGAGGUGGCCAUAGGGGGAGCCUUCUCUGAUCCGCCUGUGAACAAAGAAGCAAAAGGUGUCAUAGGACUAAUGCCAGAAGGCUUCUGCUCAAAGUCCAAACCAAACUCCCCACAGGGCAAGGACUCAGACGCAUGGGACGCUGACAGCUUGGGAGAGGCUGGAGGACAACAUAUGCCACAGUCAUAAACUCCUUGUGGGCAGGAGCCAUCUUGUUUGCUAGCCCACAGCAUUCUAGGCUGGCACAAAGAAGGCCCUACAUAAAUAUUUCUUGAAUGAAUGAAUGUAUGACUCAUUCUCUACUUUCUUACGACAACUUUAUAGAGAUGUUCAAUAGAUAUUUUAAGUUUCCCUUACUCCCUUAGGCUUAGAAAUUCACCCUUUUAUUUAACCUAAAUUCUUUCUGCAGGAAAAAGAACUCCACCUGAAUAUUGCAGACUAGCACUGUUCAGAACUUUCCCCCUCAUCCCCAUUAGUACCUAUCUCACUCGUGUGGGCACUUGUGUCAGCCUGCCUCAGGGUGUGUUGCCUUGUCUCAAAUACAAUAAAAGCUCCCAGAGAAUGGAUACUGGGCCCCAGUACCACCUCCUGGGAACUCCCUCACCUCCACCUGCAGCUCGCCUAUGUCAUCCACUGACCAGGCCUCAUCAUCGUUGUCAUAGUUGGGCACGGUGCUAAAGCUGCCUGCCCGCUGCUCGUGGGUGAUACCGCAUUCGGGCAGGUUCUCCACGGACCGUGUGCUCCGAAUUCGGUUCUCAGGUAUCCGGGCAGGGACAUUGGUGGUGUCGAAGUUUUCACAUUCAAGGACUUCCACAUAGAUCAGGUAGGGAGCCUGGAGGGGUAGUGUGUGAAAACAGUAGUUGCAACUUAUCUCCACCACUGUCCCCCAAUCUCAACUCUGCUAACCCAGUCCUUCCAGCUGCCCACUCCUAGCUCUAACCCCCUCACCUGUCAGUCCCUUGACACUAUGAAUGUCACAUUCAGGGUAAGAACUUGUCCUGUGAACAUGCAUUUCAAGAAUUUGGGUGAGAGAAUGCACAGGUGUUGAAAAUGGUUCGGCUGAGGGGUGCCUGGGUGGUUCAACUGGUUAAGCGUCUGCCUUGGGCUCAGGUCGUGAUCCCGGCGUCUGGGGACCAAGCCCAACAUGAGGCUCCCUGCUCAGCGGAGAGCCUGAGUCUCCCUCUCCUACCUGCUUGUGCUCUCUCUGUCUCUCUGUCUCUGUCUCUCUCAAAUAAAUAAAAUCUUUAAAAAACAGUUUCAGCUGAGCUUCAAUAUGUACAGAUGAUGUACUUGGGCAAAACUAUCAAUUACUACCUUUGAAAGGCCUAAAAGCCUACCUGGGGCUUGUCCUAAAGACAGACAAGAGACUGGGGAAAAGCCAGCAACUGUUCUAAUAAGCAGGGUUCUAAUCCUCAGUGCUUCUUCUGAAGAAGAAUCUGAACCAUUAGUACUCAUUCCAAUCAACAGACAAGUUCAGCUAAUUUUCUCCAACAUGAGUCGGGCAUUCUUGUCUCCUAUGAUUGGAAUACGUCUUAGAAAUGAGGAUUUUUCGGGACAUUUAGGUGGCUCAGUGGUUGAGCAUCUGCCUUUGGCUCAGGCAUGAUCCUAGAGUUCUGGGAUCGAGUCCCACAUCGGGCUCCCUAAAGGGAGCCUGUUUCUCCCUCUGCCUAUGUCUCUGCC